rnacentral:rRNA from 1 species
UGGGGAAUAUUGGACAAUGGGCGAAAGCCUGAUCCAGCAAUGCCGCGUGGAUGAAGAAGGUCUUCGGAUUGUAAAGUCCUUUCGGCGGGGACGAUGAUGACGGUACCCGCAGAAGAAGCCCCGGCUAACUUCGUGCCAGCAGCCGCGGUAAUACGAAGGGGGCUAGCGUUGCUCGGAAUGACUGGGCGUAAAGGGCGCGUAGGCGGUUUGGUUCGUUAGGCGUGAAAUUCCUGGGCUCAACCUGGGGACUGCGUUUAAUACAGCCAGACUUGAGUGUGGAAGAGGGUCGUGGAAUUCCCAGUGUAGAGGUGAAAUUCGUAGAUAUUGGGAAGAACACCGGUGGCGAAGGCGGCGACCUGGUCCAUUACUGACGCUGAGGCGCGAAAGCGUGGGGAGCAAACA